rnacentral:lncRNA from 1 species
UUGUUGUUCCUGUUUGUGUUUGAUUUGCGAUCGAGGAGUUAGGACCAAGGGGUCGCGUAAAUUUGUCCACGAAAAGAGGCAUCCUCCUAUACCGUGCUUUGUGUGGUGUUGGCCUUCUGAGAUUUCUUUCGUGUCUAUUUGAGGAUGUUCCGUAUAGCUAUACGAGCUCUGUUACGAGUUUUCCUUACAUGCCGUAUUUUACGAGUAAAACACAGCGGGCUUAA